AUUGAACGCUGGCGGCAGGCCUAACACAUGCAAGUCGAGCGGAUGAAGGGAGCUUGCUCCUGGAUUCAGCGGCGGACGGGUGAGUAAUGCCUAGGAAUCUGCCUGGUCGUGGGGGAUAACGUCCGGAAACGGGCGCUAAUACCGCAUACGUCCUGAGGGAGAAAGUGGGGGAUCUUCGGACCUCACGCUAUCAGAUGAGCCUAGGUCGGAUUAGCUAGUUGGUGGGGUAAAGGCCUACCAAGGCGACGAUCCGUAACUGGUCUGAGAGGAUGAUCAGUCACACUGGAACUGAGGCACGGUCCAGACUCCUACGGGAGGAAGCAGUGGGGAAUAUUGGACGAUGGGGGAAAGCCUGAUACAGCCAUGCCGCGUGUGUGAAGAAGGUCUUCGGAUUGUAAAGCACUUUAAGUUGGGAGGAAGGGCAGUAAGUUAAUACCUUGCUGUUUUGACGGUACCAACAGAAUAAGCACCGGCUAACUUCGUG
rnacentral:rRNA from 1 species